AGAAACUCCACUGCACUUGAGGUCAGUUCAACCAUCAGUUUAUUAUUUAAUCAUUAUUGUAAAAGAAGAUUGUGUAGCUAUUUUGAUGGCAUUCAGAAUAUAACCGGGUACUCCAAAAAGAUGUCGAAAAUAUUUAAGUACUCUUUUCCCUAUUGAAAAAGGGACAAAAUUAAAAAUCUUUAACAGUUGGACUAUAAGAAAAACAUUUGAGGCGGGAAGACAUUUUAUAUUU
rnacentral:misc_RNA from 1 species